rnacentral:rRNA from 1 species
CUACGGGCCGCUGCAGUAAGGAAUAUUGCGCAAUGGAGGCAACCCUGACGCAGCCAUGCCGCGUGCAGGAAGAAGGCCUUAUGGGUCGUAAACUGCUUUUAUUUAGGAAUAAACCCCCGAACGUGUUCGGGGCUGAAGGUACUAAACGAAUAAGCACCGGCUAACUCCGUGCCAGCAGCCGCGGUAAUACGGAGGGUGCAAGCGUUAUCCGGAUUUAUUGGGUUUAAAGGGUGCGCAGGCGGGCUAUUAAGUCAGUGGUGAAAUCCCGGGGCUCAACUCCGGAACUGCCAUUGAUACUGAUAGUUUUGAGUUUGGUUGAAGUGGGCGGAAUGUAGCAUGUAGCGGUGAAAUGCAUAGAUAUGCUACAGAACACCAAUCGCGAAGGCAGCUCACUAAGCCAAAACUGACGCUCAUGCACGAAAGCGUGGGGAUCAAACAGGAUUAGAUACCCAGUAGUC